rnacentral:rRNA from 1 species
AUACGUAGGUGACAAGCGUUAUCCGGAUUUACUGGGCGUAAAGGGCGUGUAGGCGGUCUUGCAAGUCAGAAGUGAAAUUCCUGAGCUCAACUCGGGCGCUGCUUCUGAAACUGCAGGACUUGAGUGCUGGAGGGGAUAGCGGAAUUCCUAGCGGAGCGGUAAAAUGCGCAGAUAUUAGGAAGAACACCGGUGGCGAAGGCGGCUAUCUGGACAGUAACUGACGCUGAGGCGCGAAAGCGUGGGGAGCAAACAGGAUUAGAUAUCCUGGUAGUCCACGCCGUAAACGAUGAAUACUAGGUGUAGGGGGUAUCGACUCCCUCUGUGCCGCAGUUAACACAAUAAGUAUUCCGCCUGGGGAGUACGGCCGCAAGGUUGAAACUCAAAUGAAUUGACGG